ACUACAAUAAAGCCUCAUGCAGUUUGCAUCAAGCUUUCGCCUCCAUUCUGUGUUUGGGGUGGCCGCCGUCCUGGGCUAAGAUUCUGGAAGCCUCAGCUUUCUGAGGGUCUAACACCAACUUGACAGGCUCUAGAAUUCCUGAGGAGGAAUGUACAGGAAUUUGGAACUUUGGGAAAUAAAACCCUCAAAUACCAUAAGAAACUUAAUGGGCCAUUUUGAUGAGAACUUGGAAGGCAAGAAGGUAAAGACAUAUGAAGAUAGUAGAGGCCUGGCUUGUGAACCAGUGCUCUACCAGGAACCAGGCUUGACACCAUUUGUGUGACUUUCUGCCAAAUAAUGGGACUUCACAUUGUCCCAUCCAGAGAAGCUGAGUGAUCAAAGGAUGGACUAAUGGGUUUGUCUCAGGCUAUUCAAGGCAGGAGAGCAUUCAACUGGAGCACGGCUACUACUCACUGCAAUUAUCCAAGUCUAAAGUGAAAACGAAAAGGUUGGGAAGAAAGACACAAAAAGUGUUUAGUUUAGAGCAGCAAAAAAAGCACAAACAAGUUUUAAGUUGUGAACAAGGUGAAUGCUGAAAAGGGGGCUUCAGUUAUUGCUGAGAAGGCUCCUGCUGUAAACUGCAACAGUGACAGGUACCCCAAAGACAAGCCUCCCAGCAAAGUCUCCAACUUGUGAAAAUGAAAACUCACUGAAAGGAGAGAACUUGUGAGAGUGAGGCUGAAGGUGGCCCGGCAGGAGGGGGCCACAACAAAACCACCUAGAUCUGGGGAUAACCAGUUGCUUUCUGAUGGAUUAAGGCUUGUUCUGCCUUAGGAAAUGCAUGCCUCAUACUAUAAAUCCAAUCAAGAACCUAUGGUAGGGAGUUCACGGGCCCCAGGAGUAAAUCUAUUACUAUUAUUCUGCUAAAUGGGCAUAGUAUCAAGCUGCCAUCUAAAUCCGUAACUCUCUACCUGUAAACUAGUACAGCUCUCAGACUUCAUCAGAAAAUUGUGUUUGUACGUUGUAUGGUGGUUAAUGCAGAAACUCACAACUGGUCAAAAUGCAGAGAAUGAGUGUCUGUGGAGUGCUCAGCUACAAACAGGACAUCUAUAGCACACUAUUCCUCCCAAACCCCAGGGCUUGGGGGCCAUUGCAGAAGAUGGGGCUGAAAGAGUGUAAGAGCCAGAGGUUAGGGAGAGCCAGACUGAAACAGUGUCUUUUGGACAUGACAAGAUUACUAUAGCCAUGAACUCUAAGCAGUUGUGUGGCUGCCUGAGCAAGCCCUGUACAAGCUCAAGCCAAUCAACAUCCUAGUGUGGAGUGGUUUAUUAGCCUCAGCUCUAUGAACAGUUGAUGGCUUCUGGGAAUGAGAGUCUGUUUUCUUUAAGGGUGUUUCCUGGCAGGUCACUCCAGUGGGUAGCCACGCACUCAGAAGUAUAUGGGAAGCACAGAUUGGAGUCCAUGCUUUUGUUUGUUUGUUUUAAGAAAAGAACAGGAAGUUGGCAGGGUAGUGAUAUGGGAUGGAUCUGGAGGAGUUAAAGAAAGGAGUUAGGGA